CCAGAACUGAACCAGGUCUAAACCAGGUCUAAACCAGAACUGAACCAGGUCUAAACCAGGUCUAAACCAGAACUGAACCAGGUCUAAACCAGGUCUAAACCAGGACUUAACCAGAACUAAACCAGGACUAAACCAGAACUGAACCAGGUCUAAACCAGGACUAAACCAGGACUUAACCAGGACUAAACCAGGACUAAACCAGAACUGAACCAGGUCUAAACCAGGACUAAACCAAGACUAAACCAGGUCUAAACCAGAACUGAACCAGGUCUAAACCAGGACUAAACCAGGACUUAACCAGAAAUAAACCAGGACUAAACCAGGACUAAACCAGGACUAAACCAGGACUAAACCACGUCUAAACCAGAACUGAACCAGGUCUAAACCAGGUCUAAACCAGAACUGAACCAGGUCUAAACCAGGACUUAACCAGGACUGAACCAGGACUAAACCAGGACUAAACCAGGUCUAAACCAGAACUGAACCAGGUCUAAACCAGGUCUAAACCAGGACUAAACCAGGUCUGAACCAGGACUUAACCAGGACUAAACCAGGACUAAGGGGUUGUUAUGUUGAAUGUAUAAAAGUGAUAUUUUGCCGC
ensembl:lncRNA